AGAGUUUGAUCCUGGCUCAGAUUGAACGCUGGCGGAAUGCUUUACACAUGCAAGUCGAGCGGCAGCGCGGGGCAACCUGGCGGCGAGCGGCGAACGGGUGAGUAAUGCAUCGGAACAUGUCCAUUCGUGGGGGAUAGCCCGGCGAAAGCCGGAUUAAUACCGCAUACGCCCUGAGGGGGAAAGUGGGGGACCGCAAGGCCUCACGCGAUUGGGUUGGCCGAUGUCCGAUUAGCUAGUUGGCGGGGUAAGAGCCCACCAAGGCGAUGAUCGGUAGCUGGUCUGAGAGGACGACCAGCCACACUGGGACUGAGACACGGCCCAGACUCCUACGGGAGGCAGCAGUGGGGAAUUUUGGACAAUGGGCGAAAGCCUGAUCCAGCCAUGCCGCGUGCGGGAAGAAGGCCUUCGGGUUGUAAACCGCUUUUGUCAGGGAAGAAACCUCCCGAGUUAAUACCUCGGGAGGAUGACGGUACCUGAAGAAUAAGCACCGGCUAACUACGUGCCAGCAGCCGCGGUAAU
rnacentral:rRNA from 1 species